AGCGGACAGAUGGGAGCUUGCUCCCUGAUGUUAGCGGCGGACGGGUGAGUAACACGUGGGUAACCUGCCUGUAAGACUGGGAUAACUCCGGGAAACCGGGGCUAAUACCGGAUGGUUGUUUGAACCGCAUGGUUCAAACAUAAAAGGUGGCUUCGGCUACCACUUACAGAUGGACCCGCGGCGCAUUAGCUAGUUGGUGAGGUAACGGCUCACCAAGGCAACGAUGCGUAGCCGACCUGAGAGGGUGAUCGGCCACACUGGGACUGAGACACGGCCCAGACUCCUACGGGAGGCAGCAGUAGGGAAUCUUCCGCAAUGGACGAAAGUCUGACGGAGCAACGCCGCGUGAGUGAUGAAGGUUUUCGGAUCGUAAAGCUCUGUUGUUAGGGAAGAACAAGUACCGUUCGAAUAGGGCGGUACCUUGACGGUACCUAACCAGAAAGCCACGGCUAACUACGUGCCAGCAGCCGCGGUAAUACGUAGGUGGCAAGCGUUGUCCGGAAUUAUUGGGCGUAAAGGGCUCGCAGGCGGUUUCUUAAGUCUGAUGUGAAAGCCCCCGGCUCAACCGGGGAGGGUCAUUGGAAACUGGGGAACUUGAGUGCAGAAGAGGAGAGUGGAAUUCCACGUGUAGCGGUGAAAUGCGUAGAGAUGUGGAGGAACACCAGUGGCGAAGGCGACUCUCUGGUCUGUAACUGACGCUGAGGAGCGAAAGCGUGGGGAGCGAACAGGAUUAGAUACCCUGGUAGUCCACGCCGUAAACGAUGAGUGCUAAGUGUUAAGGGGGUUUCC
rnacentral:rRNA from 1 species